UUUCUUGAAAAAGGAUUUUGGUACAACAUUAAUCUUUCUGAGUUGAUGAGGUACAUUGGUUCAUGAAAGCAUCUGUUUGCAAACUAUUUGGUUCAUAAACAAAAGCUCUUGGAAAAUUUUGCUUCAGUUCACAAGCUCUGUAUUAUGUAACAAAUAUGACCAUGGCCACCUUUCCUGCAAAAAUACAAAUGCAGUCAUCUUCCCACAAACCGUAAUCAAAUUAAGCUGUAAACUGAUAUACCAGUGUACUCAGACCCAGCUCUGGAUUCCAAGAAAAUCUUCCAUCUUCAGACAGAAUGAAGUGCAGUGUGUAACUCUUUCCAAACAACUUAAUAAAGGAGGCACUACUAUUUUUCAAGUCAUCAAACAUUUUAGAGGAAGUCUGCAGUGCCCUGUGGAAGAUCCUGACCCUGAAACUAUAUUCAGUACCACGUUGUUUGUUUCACAUCUAACUUCUUGACUUUGGGGAACUACACCCAGGAGAACUGACAUUUGUCGCAACAAAGCCACACACAAAAUAAUGAGGGGAAAUUUUUCUUUUUUACUUGAAAUGUAAUUUCUUCUAAAUCAAUAGUGUGCCGAUAUUCAUGUCUUAAGGAAACAACUAAAUACAGACAACUCACCUGUACAUGGAGGUCAUACUUUUGAAAAACUAUGGGGAAAAUAAAGCAACAAAAACAUAGCCAUAUCCAUUCCUGUAACCUCAGCAUAACAGAGUAGAAUAAUGACAAACAAUGGCUAAUACCAUCUUUUUCUUUUCCUUUAUAUUUUAAAGAUUGUUUAUGUAUGUAAGCCAAAACUAAAAGGGUAAAGACAGAUAAAACCCAGAUGGAUGGAGGAACUUUUGUGUAGUAAUUCUGUGUUUUAAAUGAAUUUUAAAAUUAUUAUGUGGAAUUCUAAAUUCCAAUCUCUGAGUUUUGUUUAUAAUGAUACACUGGUUUUAAUUAAGGAUUUUGAGUAUAUGGAACUAACUUCUUUUCAUCUUCCAAUGUGUGGCUUCCAUACAACUAAAGCCAUACCUUUCAUAAUAUCUGAACAUGAUUUUAGAUUCAGUAACCUAGUCGGUGGCUGAUUCAACAGAUGGAUGGGGGUUGAAUUACAUAAAGAGAUUUAAAAAUAGAAGUGAUCUUAAUUAUGGAUGCCAUGUCA
rnacentral:lncRNA from 1 species